GAAGAGGAUGAGGAAGAGGAGGAAGACGAAUUAGACGACGAAGAAGACUUGGAUGGCGAAGACGAGGAGAACGGGGGAGAUGACGAGGAUGAAGAUGAUGAUGAUGACGUAGAUGAAGACGAGGACGAGGAUGAAGAAGCCGAGGUCCAGCAGGGCGAGAAGCGGAAACGAGACCCCGAGGAAGACCCGGACGACGACGAGGAUGAAGAAAACGACGACUGAGGAGUCCCUGCCGCCGCCUCUUCCUCCUCCUCCUCCUCGGCUCCUUUGCAGGCCGAUCCGUGUUUUUUUUUUGGCGGACUGUGUGACUUUCCCGGCCUCUCACCGUUCCCCUCCCCCCCACACCUUUGUGAGAACUGUGACGAAUCCCCUUCCCCCUCUCCUGCCGCCCCUCCCCUCCUCCGCUCUUUUGUACGGCUGCAAACACCCACAAUAUAUAUUUUUUUAAAAGAUGUAGAAAAGGAUAGGUGUUUCAGGAGAAGUUGGAAUUUUCGUUUUGUUUUGGGGGGUUAGCUUUCUCUUGCCUCUCUUGCCAACGCCCCCCCUCCCCAUGUGCUAUGACACCCCCGCCCACCCCCAGAUAUGAGGUAUUUGCGACCAAAGGCUUAGCGAUGCAAGGGCAGAUUUACUCAAAUCUGCAAGCAAUUUGGCUUUCCCCACCGCCCUGAACCCGGAUGCGUUUGGACACUCCUGGCGAUUUCUGGCUGGGGUGGGUGGGGGUGGAGUCAAGUCUGCUAUGGCCCCUCCCACUCUGCCCCGGAGUCUGAAGAUGCACCCUUCUGGAAACAAGGCCGAGCGAGGUGCAUGGUGCAGCUGUGGCCCUCGGCGUGAGUUCCGGAUGUGGGACCGUCCUCUCUCUGUGGCUCUGCGGCGGUGUUGCCGAAGUGUUUUACGCGUGGAUUGUGGGUCGCUUGCCGUGAUGUUUUGUUUUUAAUUCGGUUGUCUGCUUCUGCGAUUUAUUCCUUGCUGAUCUGUGCCCCACUCACCCGCCCGCCGCCACCACGAGCCCAGAGGGAGGAGUUCAGCUGUGCCCCCCCUCCGCCCCCAAAUAGGCAUGCUCCAGACAAGUGUGGGGCACGAGUCCACCCAUGGCCAGCCCCACAACAGGAAGCUGGCAAAGGUGGGGAGGGGGGAGCCUUUGCAUCAACAGUCUAGCAAAAUGCAACACAAAGUUGCAAAAAAAAAAUGCAUACUUUAAAAAAAAGAAUUCUGCAGUUUGUAAAGCCCUGCUUUUUAAAAAAAAAAAUUGUAAUUUUAGUUUUUGUGGCUAGGAAAAAACACUUUGGGCACAAACUUCCCACGUUCAGAGCUGCGGUUCGACGCUCCCUCACUUCCCCCCCCACCUUCCUGGCCGAUGAUGGUUGGGAUUUUUUAGCCCCUAGUUUUAAAAAAAAAAUUUCAGCACAGAUUUGGUAAAAAAAAAAAGAAACCUAACCCAUUAAUCAUAUCUCCCACCCAACCCACCCACCCCUUUGGAAUUUUGGGCCCUCUUUUAUAUAUCUCCUUUUUGUUAAUGGAAUUUGGAUAAGACUUUUAAUAAAAGACUUGGUUUUUAAAAAGGAA